UAAAAUCUUGCAUGACGUCAUACUGAUGUCAUAAAUAAACAUAACUAGUGUUUUACAAACCCUGAUAUUGUUUACCAACAUGGAUGUCCUUGUCGAAGACGAAAGCAAUGAACCAUUUACAGAAGAUGAGGAUGACAAUAUCGCGAAGAUAAAGACGUUAAGGAAGCAGUACUACAGUAGUCUACUACCGUCUUCAUGAGGCGAGACAACAGUUGGAGCAUUCGCAAAAGUGCGUCGCCGGCAGACCUAUGACGUGUUUUCUGCAUCCGAGUGUGACGCCGUGCAAGUUGUACGAGCACCUGAAGAGUCGAGGUGCCGCUGACGCUGUCAUCGUGGACUGGCUCAGGCGCUUAAAAGACAUAAGGGAUCCGAAGUGAAAGAAAUAAGAUCGUUCUCGAUUUUGGUCAAUUAAUUGUAAUAUUCAUUUUUGACAUUUGUGUGUUAUCUCGAUACAGUUAAUUGUGUAUGAUAUUAAAAUGUGCAUUUAC